rnacentral:lncRNA from 1 species
GGCAAUAUAGAGGUCACAAUCUGGCACCGACACAUUAUGUUCCUUCCAUGAGUCGGCAUCCCUUAACAGGCGACUGGUAAUUCUGCUUUCUUCAUAAAAUUUGAUUGGCUGUGAGCCUGAGAAAUUGAUGAAAAAAUUUAUCUCGUUCAGAUAUUUUGGUACAAAAUUUCUUUAUAUUUUGACCACCUAGAAAAAAACCUCCUAAUACAAGAGAAAAAAUUGGACAAAAGUGAUUGCCAUGAAGUUCCCCUAUCUUUAAUCACUCUUUUCUUCCAUUUCAGGUACCCAGCAAUCAAUAAGCCUGUUGCAGUUGUUCACUGGCUUAAUCAUGCAAAUAUUGAUGCAGAAUUCAUAGUUAUUCUCGAUGCUGACAUGAUCUUGCGAGGCCCAAUUACACCAUGGGAGUUCAAAGCAGCACGUGGCAAGCCAGUUUCAACUCCCUAUGAGUAAGAACUUCCGUGAUCUUUCUUUCUUUAAUGGUUGAAACUGUGUAUGCUGGUGGAUAUCUGUGUGCAUAUGUGUUUGAUGUAUUUACAUAAAGAAGUGAUAGAUCCUGCCUUCGUUCUACUAACGUAAAUAUACAUUGUAGCUAUCUUAUUGGCUGCGACAAUGAACUUGCAAGACUUCACACUCGCAAUCCUGAUGCUUGUGACAAGGUUGGGGGUGUUAUCAUCAUGCAUAUAGAUGACCUGCGGAAAUUUGCUCUGCUAUGGUUGCAUAAAACUGAGGAAGUCCGGGCUGACACAGCUCAUUAUGCCACAAAUAUCACUGGUGAUAUAUAUGAAUCCGGGUGGAUUAGUGAAAUGUAUGGCUACUCAUUUGGUGCAGCUGAGGUACUCUACUUUUAAAAGACUUUCAUAGUAAAAGUAAUUGGUCUAUGUAUAUUCUGCAUUCCCAUGCAUCGGAUUGUUGAGAAAAUAUCGUUAUUUGCUUGGAAAAUAUUGCUUUCAUUUACACUAAUUUUCUGCUGCCAUGCAGCUAAAAUUGCGGCACACCAUAAAUAGGGAGAUACUAAUAUAUCCCGGGUAUGUUCCCGAGCCUGGUGUCAAUUAUAGAGUUUUCCACUAUGGUUUGGAAUUCAAAGUUGGUGAUUGGAGCUUCGAUAAGGCAAAAUGGAGAACUGUCGACGUGGUAAACAAAUGCUGGGCUAAGUUUCCCGACCCACCUGACCCUUCAACACUGGAUAAGAGUAAAGAUGACACACUACAGCGAGACCUGCUUAGCAUAGAAUGUGCAAAGACACUGAACGAAGCAUUACUUUUGCAUCACAAGAAGAACUGUCCCGAUCCCAAUUCCUUAUCCACCUCAAAUUUGGAUAAGACAGACAACUUUCCUGGUUCCAGGAAAUUUGUUAGGGCUUAUGGAGGUAACAAUGCUGGAAGAAGCAAUCCUACUGUAAAUCACACUCGGGAAUCAACUCUUCCUCCUGUAACAGACAGCCUGUUUAGUUCUCUGAGGAUUUGGAUUAUUGUUUUAUGGGUUGUAUCCGGCUUGGGUUUCUUCGUGGUAAUGUUAGUGGUGUUUUCAGGUCGUAGGAAUAAGGGAACGAGAGGUAAAAGUUACAGAAAUAAGAAAAGAUCCUAUACAAAUUUCGUGGACACAAAUGGCCAUGAUAGGCAUCCCCGGAGUGCUGAAUCAUCUUUAUGACAUUGAAACUUGUAGAAGAAGAAGAAAGUACAAAUGCUCAUGGUGAUUGGAUUUACAGAGAUUGAUACCUGAACAUAGAUUUAAAUGAUUUGGAAAAUGGAAAUCAUUGCAUUAUUCACCUGGAUAGUGACUACUCUGAACUUCAGAUGCUUCUCUGCUCAGAAUUCAGUUUCAGAAACCUAUAGAAUCAGCUUUAAGAAUGCUUUGAACUGACAU